rnacentral:tRNA from 1 species
AUUUGGUUAGCUUAAAUAUUUAAAGCUUAAUAUUGAAGAUAUUAAGAUAAGAGCUUAUUUCUUACCAAAUA